GCCCACCGUGACAUCAGGGUGACCCUGAAGGGAUCCCCGGGGAACCUGCCGCCCUGCAGCAUCCCCCAGCCUGCAUGGGACCUGCCCACACAUCCCUGGUUCCCUGAAACUGAGGAGGAAGGAAUGGGGCUCGCAGGAUGGUGGCACAGGGGGCCUGGCCUGGCCUGCACUGUGUUACCUGACGGCGCCUCCUGAUCACUGCCCUGAUGCCUUGGUAUCUAUGUUGGAACCAAUGCCUACAGCAAUGGUCAAGCCGCACCCCUGGGGUUCCUGGGAGCCAGAGCCCCCAGAGGUGGGCUGGCAGCAAGAGAACAUCCUCCAGUAGCAGAUGUCUCCAGCCAAGUGAGCCUGAGCUGGGGCUGCACUGGAUGCGGGUGCCUGGUUAUGGGGGUUCCGAGUUCUGUCGGGCUCUGUGACACGGAAGUGACCUCACUGCCUGGGACCACCUCCCUGACCCACUCCUGGAGGAAGCUGCAGGGGCAGCGAUCAUGCUGCCAAUGCUUCCCCCUUCCCCGCAGGCAAUGGCCUUUGUACACAGGGACACAACCGCACCCCUAUCGACAGGCCCCAGGGAAGGACUCUGUGCCCCCAGGGCCCCAGCCUGGACACACACCUGGGUUCAGACACGAAUCUCCAGUCUUCCCCGGUUUGACCCCAGAGAAGCCGUUGUGCCUGUCGGGGAUGGUCUGCGUCUUGCCUGUGGGACAGGGAAUAUCCUAGCAGGUCCACGAGGUCUUCUGUGCACACACGUGGGCACCGGUACCCUCAUUCUGGAGGCCCAGAAGAUGACAGUCCCCCCGGGCAGGGAUGGACAACAGCUUCCCAGGAUCCUAGGCUCCUGAAUCCAAGGCAAACCCUGCAGAAGGUGUCGUCUGGUCUCCUGUUGUGAUUCUGAGUCUGGGGUUGUGGAUUUGCUCCCGAAUGGGACCCUCUGUGCCCCGUGACCCUGGGUCAGGUGUUCAAAACUGCAGCUAUUUCAGAAAACCGAUCUUUUCCUCACCCUUCGAUUCAUGAGUUACACAUCCAAGAAGACUGACACCACACACAUUUUUCCAAAUUAAAUGAUAUUUAUGUUGA